rnacentral:lncRNA from 1 species
CGGAGGGCGGCGCGCGGGCGGCGGCCGUUGGAGGCGGCGGGAAAGGGGCGCCCGCGCGCCCCGGGCGGCUGUUUGUUAGCGCCCGUUUAGCGCCGGAGCUGCGGGGAGGGCCGCUCUGGCGUUUGUGUGCGGAGCGGACUACGCGGGGCCGCCGAGCGAUGCUGGAGAAAACGUGCCCUUCCCUGGCUCAGCGCCCGGUGCCAACAGAACACCUUGCAGGAUCCUCAGCAGCGCAGACAACACAACCUGGAUGCUCAAGAGCAGAGGAUCUAUCAACUGCAGACCAAGCAGAGGCAGAGGCAGGCAGAACCGGAGCAAUAAUGCAGCCAGAUCCAGCAGCUCAGCCAGGAGCUGGAGGCCACCGUCAGCUGCAGGAGGAGGCUCGGACACAGUGUGGCUGAGGAAAAUCACAACACCAGCUGCAUGUAAGAAACUCCUGGAAAGAAGAACAAAGCCAUCUGUUCUCCAUGUCCACGAAGGCAUGCACAAGAACUAAUGGGUGUACCCUACAUCAAGAAAGAUUCAGGUUAGGAACAGCGUCUAAUGGAGAGGAGAACAAAGCAGGUGAACAGACUGCAAGGGGCCUGAGUGUUCUGCGUCACAGGAGAUCUUCAAGGACAGAUAAACAGAAGACAAGGCACCUGUAGGUUCCCCCGUCAUAGAACUGGAAGACAGGCCAUCAGCCUCUUGAGAUUCAUGCCAGCCUUGCUCACUUCCUAAACCCAGCUUUGUUUGUACCCAGAAACUCAUUUGUCUUCUUCAAAGCCCCACCACAGGGUCUCCUUUAGCAUUCAUAUGUUACCAACAUAUCACUUGCCAGGGUGAUUCUUCUCUCUAGAAAAGUGACUGCACGCUUGCUUCCUACCAUGGUUCACCUAACCUCCAAUGAGACUCAGUACCUGCUUUGUGUUGUAAAUGGUGUCCCAUCUUGAAAUGCACUGCCUGUGUUCCUGCACUGGAUAGUAGUGUUGAUCUGUGGGAGUAUUCUUUCCUCUUUCUUGGAACCUCAUUCUUAUGCUUCUGCAGGCUUGUUCACAGGAGACUGGCUGAAGAGCACACUCAUUGCUGUUUUCCCAGAAGAUAGAAAAAUGUGUCAGGAAAUCACUGCAUGCAAAGGAGUUGGAGGAUUUGUGAGUGCAAGACCCCUGCAGAAAAUGGUGUGCAGCAGAGUAGGAAGUGCAUGGUGAAACAGAGGUACUGCUCAAGUUGACAAAAGGAGCAACACCAAAAGCUCACUUGACUGUACUGCCAGCUGAUCAGCUCUUCUGCAUGCGGCCAGGGCAAAUCGGCUUGGGCUCUCAGACUUGUAUGCCUUGUGUUGGCAGCUGGUUAAACUGUAAGAAAGAGCUGUACUAAUGGAAGGGGUUGCUUUACAUCUGGACAUCUGGAUGCUUUAAGACCUAUGGUGUGCACAUCCAUUCAUACACUGGGAGGUUUUCCAGAACUCUGACACAAUGGAGCAGUUGUGGAAGACAGCAGGUAGGAGAUGGAACAAAAGCACAGGUCAGGCUGGGGACAGAAAUUAUGCUUUUUAUUCAGACAUUGCAGGGCAUGCACAGGACAUCAGGCAUGUUGCUAAAACAUGGCUGCAGCACCAAAUGCUGCCUGCUGCCCUAACACACAGGGGCUGUGAAUAACUCAUGGCUUGUUGUGGUCCUGGAGUACAAAAACACCACUACUUUUCUUUAAUUACAAAUAGUUAAGGUAUAUCCUUCCAUUCUACCAGGCAGAUGUCCUGAAGCACCAUGGCAGCAUCAGAGCAGGUGCUAUGUGAGAAGGCAUGUUGUGAAUGAAGCUACAAGAACGUGCACUUACAUUUACACCGGGUUUAUUUACAAGCACACCUCACCUGGGACAGUGACAUCUGAAGGGCUAGCCUGCUCCAUCCCCAUGGUCCCAGCAGGCAGCAUGUCUCUACACCAGAGCAGAAGACAGCAUGGUGCUGUGUUCAGACUGUGCUAAUCCUGCCAUGUGUUUUGAAGAUGAUGUGUUUCCUGUUGCCUUUCACCUUGUGGCUGCACAGAUCCCUUCUGCUGGAUGGCAAUCUUAAAGGAUGCUGAUGGGAAAUCCCAGGAAGCUGCUCUCUGAUCUAAGUCACGCUGCUGGCAGAGGGAAGUCUCCAACACAUGCAGGCAUGGCACAGGGUGUUCCCCGCCGCUUGGCACAUACUGCAGUCGAUAGCCCUCAGCAGGAUCUUGCAUUCAAUAUUAUGCUGUCUAAGAGGCUUAAAAUUGACUGCAAAGCUUCGGUACAACUACAAAAAAAUCUUGUUUUCAGUUUCGCCUCUGGUGGAUUGCUCCAGAAUGAGACAGAGCAACUUGGUAAUUUAUUCUUGGAAUAGGGAUAGUACAUCUGCACUGGAGUAUUUGGAAUUGCAUUAUGUAAUAUGAAAAGCAGUCAUUCAUUUGAACUCCCCUUGUGGGAACAGCAGCUGCCCAGACAAAUUCCAUGUGAAGAUGGGAAAUGUGACAGAAAUCAGACAGAGCCUGCUUCUGUGUGCUGCAGAAACAACUGAGCAGUUUUGCGCCCACUAGGAAUGCCUUGCAUUCUAUCUUGCUCUCCACAGCUUGUUGUAGGUUCUUAUACCAGCUCCUGACAGACCCCCAUUUGCUGCUGCAAAAAACCAUAUAGUUGCUAGUGUCAGACAAAUGCUGCUGUCAGAGCAGAACUUGACAUAACAGCCCAUUUAAGCCACCAGCCCAGGAGCAGGAAUGGCUGUGGAGAGCCACUGCAGCCCUCCUCACCCUUGCUUAAGCAUCCUGCCUUGCUCUGAGCUGCUCCAGCGGGCAGAACUCAGGAGUGUGCUGGCUCUGAUGGUCCUCGCUCAGUGCAGUGUGUGCCACACAACCCCAUUGGCUGUGACAAAACAUGGUGCCUCUGGGUCCCUGCCUUCCCUCCAGGAAGCGCCUGCAGUCCAGCACAGUGUCUCCUGCUUUAUGUUCCCCAGACAAGCUGUUAUCACCGCAGACAGCUCUGCCACUGCUGAGAGUAUCAUUUGAAAGAGGACUAUCAAUGCAGGUGACCUGAAUCCUGAUGUGGCAGUGCAGACGUGGGGUCAGCAGUACACCACUGCAACUCUUUAAUGCUGACUUUUUGGAUACAGGGCAGGAUGUGUCAGGAUCAGUCGUUGCACAUGAUCCUGGAGCACUGAAGAAAAGCAAGAACAACUGUUCGCAAUUAGCUCCAAGUAUGUAUUGCCCACCAUCUUAUCUCUGAUAGUGGUCAAGAGCUAUUAUUGUGGGCAGUGCGAGAAGGGGGCAUAGCUACUGCAGUAGCAGUACCACCCAGAAUACUUGAUGAUAUGAAGCUCAGAGGCCUCGGAAACAAAAAUAGGGUCUUCUAUUUAACCAGUGUGGGUGGAUUUCUUUUUCUCCCACAAUGAUAUUUAACUUCUUUUUGAAUGCACAUAAACCUCAAUGACCCACUGUAUCCUCUGUUAAGCAGUUUGACACUGCAUAGUGCAUAUUAAAAAAAAAACAACUGCUUUUUGUUUUGUAGUCACUACCUCCUAAUUUAUGGGGCACUGAUGGUUCUUAUAUCAAAGGGACAAUGAGAAACCACACUGAAGUCAAACUCUGUCUGCCAAACUUGAUUUCAUAAUCCUGUCACACUUUUCUUCAGCCAUCUCUUCUCUGGGCUAAAGAGACUUUCUACUUUUCCUCAUAUGGAAGAUAUUCUUUGUAUUUGAUUUGCCUUGUUGCUCUUCUCUGAAACCCUCCCAACUCUAUUUUUCUUGAGAGAAGCCAACCAGAGUUCCAUAUGGUAAUCACAAUGCAGUCUCCACUAUGGCUCUGUUCAGUGGCAUAUCUCUGAUCUGUUCUCUCUUAUUUUCCUAAUAAUUCUUAACAGUCAGUUUGCCUUUUGGACUGCUCCUGGG